rnacentral:rRNA from 1 species
UACGUAGGGGGCAAGCGUUGUCCGGAAUCACUGGGCGUAAAGCGCGCGUAGGCGGUCCGGUAAGUCCGCUGUGAAAGUCCAGGGCUCAACCCUGGAAUGCCGGUGGAUACUGUCGGGCUCGAGUCCGGAAGAGGCGAGUGGAAUUCCUGGUGUAGCGGUGAAAUGCGCAGAUAUCAGGAGGAACACCGAUGGCGAAGGCAGCUCGCUGGGACGUGACUGACGCUGAGACGCGAAAGCGUGGGGAGCAAACAGG